UACAGAGGAUGCAAGCGUUAUCCGGAAUGAUUGGGCGUAAAGCGUCUGUAGGUGGCUUUUUAAGUCCGCCGUCAAAUCCCAGGGCUCAACUCUGGACAGGCGGUGGAAACUAGCAAGCUGGAGUACGGGAGGGGCAGAGGGAAUUUCCGGUGGAGCGGUGAAAUGCGUAGAGAUCGGAAAGAACACCAACGGCGAAAGCACCCUGCUGGGCCGACACUGACACUGAGAGACGAAAGCUAGGGGAGCGAAUGGG
rnacentral:rRNA from 1 species